rnacentral:rRNA from 1 species
GACGAACGCUGGCGGCGUGCUUAACACAUGCAAGUCGAACGGAAAGGCCCUACUUUGGUGGGGUGCACGAGUGGCGAACGGGUGAGUAACACGUGAGUAACCUGCCCCUGACUUUGGGAUAAGUUCAGGAAACUGGGGCUAAUACCGGAUAGGAGCUCCUGCUGCAUGGUGGGGGUUGGAAAGUUUCGGCGGUUGGGGAUGGACUCGCGGCUUAUCAGCUUGUUGGUGGGGUAGUGGCUUACCAAGGCUUUGACGGGUAGCCGGCCUGAGAGGGUGACCGGCCACAUUGGGACUGAGAUACGGCCCAGACUCCUACGGGAGGCAGCAGUGGGGAAUAUUGCACAAUGGGCGGAAGCCUGAUGCAGCAACGCCGCGUGAGGGAUGACGGCCUUCGGGUUGUAAACCGCUUUCGGCUGGGAAGAAGCGAAAGUGACGGUAACGGGUAAAGAAGCACCGGCUAACUACGUG